UACGUAGGGGGCUAGCGUUGUCCGGAUUUAUUGGGCGUAAAGAGCGUGUAGGCGGCCAGAUAGGUCUGCUGUGAAAACUCGAGGCUUAACCUCGAGAUGUCGGUGGAAACCAUCUGGCUAGAGUCCGGAAGAGGAGAGUGGAAUUCCUGGUGUAGCGGUGAAAUGCGCAGAUAUCAGGAGGAACACCCGUGGCGAAAGCGGCUCUCUGGGACGGUACUGACGCUGAGACGCGAAAGCGUGGGGAGCAAACAGG
rnacentral:rRNA from 1 species